GGCAAAUGUCCCUGAAGAUGUUUCUUGACAUUGUGAUCUGCAAUGCUUUUUGUCCGAUAAUCCAAUAAAUUAGUUGUCAUGGAGCACAAAUUUGUUGCAACCAACUUUUUCAAGAGAUAUUGAUAAAUUUAAAUUGAUGGGUGGGAGUUAGGUCAACUUUGUUGAUUGUUAAUAAAAAUUUGCAAUAAAUUUCAGGAGGUACCCCUCUUAAAAUUUCUUGAAUGUUGAAAUUUUUUCAAGAAUGUCAAUCUUGGGUGAUAUUUGGACAUUUUGUAUAAUUGAUUUAUUUCUUUGGAAAAAUUCAGUUAAUAACAUCAUCCUCUUAUUGUAUGUACUUUUUUUAAGCAUCAGGGUUUUCUAUCACAAAAUCAAAUGAAUUAUUUUCUAUUGGUGGCAGCUGGGAUAAAGAUGUUACAAGUGUUGAAUAAAAAAUUAAUAAAAUUGUCAUGGCUCAUAGGGGCCUAAUUAUUAAACCUCAAUUUUUUUUCUGGUCAGGUUUUAAAGGGGAAAAAGUAUUUUUUUUAGAGGGGAACAAAACUAAAAUUUUUAGAUAUUUCCUUUAAACCUAAACAUAAACUUAAAAAAUCUGAAUCCGAAAAUACUCUAAAACCUGUUGAGGUCAUGUAGUAGUUAAUUGCAUAAGUCCCUGAAUACGUUUCUUGACAUCUUGAUCUGUGUUGGUUUUUGUAUCCAAUAAAUUCAAGUUGUCGUGGCGACAAUUCAAUAAAGUCAAGUUUUCAGAUCAGCAACUCUAAAAAUUUGUACGACUCAAAAUGAAGCACAAUUUUGUUGCUAAGUUUUUUUCAAUAAUUAUUGGUAAAUUAAGGGGAUUCAGGUUUGGUCGAUUUUUUUUUGAGUGAGAAAAAGUAGAAUUUUAAUAAAUACCCCCUACGUGUAACUUUUGCCAAGUACAAAUGCUUCACCUACAGGUGAAGAUGUAUCAACAUAUACUAUGUCAGUAUUAGUGGACAUUUCCUCUAAAAUUUGAAAAUAUUUGGAAUGUUGAGAUGGAAUCCCAUUUUAUGGGAUGUUGCUGAAAGAGAAGGCAAUUUUCUUUUUAACUCUAUAUGCACAUGUUGAAAUGUUUUCAUCAAUGAUUUUGCCACCUUCUGCAGGAGAUAUUAGGAACCAAACUUCAUUGAUCUCAUGUCAUUUUUUAUUACAUAGCUUCCUAGUGUACAAUGAGCUGUAUGCAUUUAGUGUUUAGUUGUUUUUGUCCUAAUAUAUUCAGUAAUGUUGUACUGUUUGAGGAAUCAUACUUUAAUAUGUUGAAGUGAUGAAGGAAAUAUAUUCAAGCUAACUCCAAGAAAUGAGUCUUUCUUGCCACUUUUGUGAUGACAGCCUUUAACAGUUCUGUUUGGCAUUUUGUUUAUCUGUAAAAUGUGUUAAAUUAAUAUCAAUAAGUAAGGGGAAUUUUCUUUUAAUUUGCAGUAAUUUAACAUGAUAUGAUUUGAAAUGCUGCCAAAAAUUCCUAUACUCAAUUCCCAUAUAAGUGUUGUUAUUCUAAAGAAACCUAACAUUAAUUAUGUGUUGUGAUAAAAAUACAUUGAUUUUUAACAGUACCUUUAGAUUUUUUGGCAAGAUAAAACCACCAUAGUUCUGUAAAAUAAAAGGUUUAUUCAUUUUUUUAAAAAAAAGAAUUUGAAAUAUGGUAAUAUUAAUACAUAUUUAUUUAUAAAAAGUACAUGACUUUUACUGUCAAAUUAAAGAUAACUGCUUUUCAAAAUGUGACAUUUUUUAUAUGUUACAUAUAAAAUCGUAUACAUAAAAGUCAUAUAUUCAGUUAUAACAAAUAUAUAAGCGAUUUUUUCAAAUUUUUUCACUGUGUGAUGCAUUGUGCAAAUAUCCAGUGAAUGGAAUGUGCUUUAAAUUGAAUACUGGCACUCUAUUUAAGAGGGACAUGUGGGUGGAGGCACAUAGGUGCAGGGAGUACGUACCAAUAAUGAUUGUACCAAUAAAAACACAGUAUAGGUUAGUUUUCUACUCUGAAGUUUUCUCAGGUCUACCAUAAGACCAUCAACUUAAUGCCCAAUAAAGGCGGAACAAACAAAAAUAAUUGGUGAACCAUUUAGCGAUGCACCCAAUUCAGCCCUUUUCAGCAGGAUCCGAACUAAAUCCUUAAUAUCACGUGUUUCAAAAACAAGGAAGUAAAAACUUUUAAUUGCAUGCUUUUAGUUUUCACCCUUCCUCGCCCUAAUUUGCAAAAUGUAAAUUUGGUUUUGGAUUCAGUUCAGUAUUUGGCCAAAUCUUUCACAAAGGAUUUGGGAUAGGGUCGAUUCCCAAAAUUGUGGAUUUAGCUGCAUCUCUAAAACCAUUUGAUGGUAAGCUUCUUGAGGGUGUCUAAACAUAGAGACAUUAAGAUCAACACUUACAACAAUAUUGCGGUGUACCCAAGUACCUCCAUCAAAUCAAAUGUUUUGGGGGCUUCCCGCCCCAUUCGUCAGUGAUAUAAAUAUGUACACAAACAUGACCCCAACCCGAAUGUCCUAAAAUACCCAUAAACCGCUACCUCCCCCAUCAUGUUCUUAGCAUCUAAUGUCAGAUGCAAACAUGCAGUCCCCGAUCUCCAUAUUGCCAACCAAUACCAGAUGAAUGCUUCCUUCUUGACAACCGGUACUUAAUGGUUAUGCGCUUUGACAAUCCAUUUCCUUACUAGUCCAAAUGGAAAAAUCUGGUGAUUUGCUAAGAUUAGGUUCAUUAUAUAUAUACAAUCAGACUGAUGUACAAACUUACCGUGUUAUUUACAUUACAUCAACUUAAUAUAAAUAACAUACAUAAUUUUGUACAUCAGGUAAUGAUGUACAAAAUACAAUACCUGGAUUUAGGUCUGGCCAAUGCUUUAUCAUUGCGGUUAGCAAUAGAAUUAUAACCAAUUUUGAAACUGAAAAAUUGUGAUUUAUAUGUUACGGAAUUGAAUAUAUGCCCUACAGUCCAUCACAGGCUCAAAAAGUCUUACAGCAGCUCCACUGAUUGGCAGUGUGGCCCUGUUGUUUUGAAGGUUUGACCACUUUUCUGGGGGUUUUAGGGCCAUUUUAUAACAGUUUUGCUAAUGAAGGUGAAAUUGCCCUUUCAGCUGUGAGUCAGUUCCUCAAGAGAUGUGCAUAUCUUAAAUUGUUACAAUUGUAUCAGUGCAAGUGCUGAAUAUUUACUCUCUGCCAAAAGCCUCUCAAAAGCUGUCAAAAUCAGGACUUUCCUGCAGAAAGUAGGACAGUUGAGAGUUAUGGAUUAAUGAAUAAACCAUGCAAAUUAGAAUUUCACUUACCAAGCAACUAGCCCUCUGGCAUUAAUCCUAGAUGAAAGCUGUCAAAAAGGCGUGAUUACUGCAGAAUGUAUGCAUUAUGACAACUUCCAGGGAAGCCAGAGUUAACAUGUAUUAACUCGUAAUGCGUUGGUGGGAGUCGCAGACCACCUGCACAUUUAUCGAAUGAGUGUGUUUUCUGUUGCAAAAUUGCUCUCCGCAUAGGUGAAAUGGGGUGAGCUGUAUGGGCCUGCAGUCUAUAGCUUCCAGGCAAUUAGGCAUCCCACCCAAGCAGUAGAAUCCAGUCUUCACUUUCUGCCACUCAGAAGAUGUGGGAAAGCAUAUUAGAUGUGAGCCCUACUUAAAUAUAGCAUUUAAUACUGGAUUUAGCAUUCUGGCAAAACUGGGAUGACUUAUCCCAAUCAUACAUGAGGCAUAUGGUUGGAAAUUGCCGGUAGCACAAACAUUUAAAAAUGAAAGCAGACUUACAAUGCCUGGUAUUACUUGUGAUCUUCCUGUCAAUGGUUCCAAUUCAUUUGCGUUGUGAAUUCUGCUUGGAACUGAUAAAGCUGUUUAAAAUUCAGAAAAUUCUACACCGCUCUUUUCUCUGCCCUGUCAGCAAAGGCUACAGGAACCGGAAAUAAUGAUGGGUAAAAAUAGAAAUGAUUUAUAGGGAAAUGUCCUGCCUCUGAGAAUUUUCUGGCGAAAACUUAUUUAACUGCCACUUCAAAGGUUGUGAUAAAUUGCAAAUAUUAUGGUGACAUAUUUAUCUUUGGGCCACUUCACUGAAUAGUAAACUUUCCGCUAAGUCAUUACGUUGCAUUAAUUCCAGUGAGUGACGAUCAAAUAAUUCUAUGACGAAAUAUUAGCACGUACAUUUAUCUUCCUGACUCCUUAAAGGCAAUUGGAUUUACCCCCAGCAUCAAUGUAUUUCUAUUCAAUCAGCUUUUAUAUCCUAAGAAAGGUGAGAAGACCUCUUUGAAGCCCAGUCCAAUCUGCUUCAAUGAAGGAAAAUUUCUUCCUGACUCCUUAAAGGCAAUUAUACUUACUCCCAGGAUCAAGGUAUCUCUUUUCAAUCUGUGUUUAUAUCCCAAGGAAGCUGAGAAGACCUCUUUGAAGCUCGGUCCAAUCUGCUUCAAUAGAGGAGAAAAAUCUUCCUGGCAAUCAGAUUUACUUCCAGGAUCAAGACAUCUCUAUUCAAUCUGUCUCUAUAUACCAGAAAUGUGAGAAGACCUCCUAGUAUUAAUGCAUUUCCAUUUAAUCAGCUUUUAUAUCAGAGAAAGAAGAGAAGACCUCUGAAGCUCAGAACAAUCACCUUCAAUAAAGAAAAAAUCUUCUUGAUUCUUUAAAGGUAAUCUGAUGUAUUGGCAGGAUCAAUGACUCUUCAUUUAAUCAGUACCAUUCAAAUCAGUUUUAUAUACUGAUGAAAUUGGAAAGACCUCUUUGACGCUCAGUCCAAUCUGCUUCAGUAUAGAAAAAUUUCUUCCUGAAUCCUUAAAGUGAUAUUGACAGGUUAUCGCUAAUAUCUUCUUUGUAUAGUUUAGGCCAUUUUAUAUAUUGGUCCCAAUUUUUUUUAUUAUAAUCACUGUUAAAUAAUGUUUGCAAUGCCUACAUUUUUCUUGAUUUAUUUCCAUCAGAAACCACGACCUCCCUAAAGCUAACAAUGAUGUAGACCCUACUCUCCUCUGGAGAGCCGUUGCUUGACACGCAUGCAGACAGCCUGCCCUUACACUGCAUGCUGCUCCUUUGAAGUCAUGUGAUCUUCACUUGUCUAAUCAGCCUCACUCCUCGUGAUAUCUCAGUCUUCAGCUGUUUGAAGAAGGAGCUGGAGGACUCGUGCACUUGCUGUGGAGAAAGGAAUUCACGGCACAGCCUUAAAUCAAACUUACUACAAAAGCAUGAGGCGUUGGCAGCAGGAAGCAUGGAAUGGAAGAUCCAAAAUGGCUACCUCAAAGGCAAAACUCAAGAUCGGCUCAUAUAGUCAAUAUGCCGAAGUGCAUUGUUCGUGAAUGCCUACAUGGAUGUUCAUGAAACAGAAAACCAUCUAGCAUUAUUAUGCAUGUUUUCCCAAAGGACAUAAACAAAAUAACAUCUUGGCUAGUAGCCACAGGUCAAAACUUUGGAAAUAUAAAUGCCUUUGCACAAAAGAUACUAAGUGGCAAAAAUAAUGACCUAUAUAGACUUUGUUCAGCUCACUUUACAGAAGAUUCUUAUUUUUGUGAAGGUCAGAAUUUUUUUUUAGAAAAAAUGCAAUACCGAAUAUAUUCACAACUUCAGAUCAACCAUCUAACUCAUCAGCAGACAUAAAAGCUCUUCAAACAUGUAGUCAUACUCAGUCAUCUACCACAGAAGCAACCAUGCUUGUAACUAUUUUCUUUACCAAAAAAGCCAAUAGGAAAAAGAAGAAAACAAAAGGAUCUUUAGACUGCAUAGCAACCAAAGAUAUUCCAAGACCACAAUGUAGAGUUUCACACGUUUCACUGAAUUCACUGCAGAAGAUCAUGUAAGCAUUAGCAAUGAAGAGAUGAUUGAUUUAGAGAAUCCAUCAAGUCCUGAAAAUAAAUCUGAUAAUGACAUAACAGUAAAUGACAAAGAUGAAUCUUUCCUGCCUGAAGAAAUCAGUGUGGAUAAUACAAUUGACGAUGAUGAAAGUGAAAAGUUAGAUAUUACUAUUGAUUUUACAGAUGUUGGCGUUUCUUUAGAAAACAAAGAUCCAUUGGAUGAUAGCACCUUUUUUAUUUAUAAAUCAUGUCUGGAUAAAUUGUUAUGGGCUGCACGCUGUGUACAUUAUAUAUCUUGUAAUUCCUCUAUACAGCGACUGAAGAAGUAAUUUUCUGGGUCUUUUCUCUCUGUCAGAGCUGUUUGUCAAUCCGGUCAUCAUUUUCAUUUACGGGACAGCCAUCCCCAUAAAGGUAAUUUGCAUUUUGGCAACAUUCAAAUGGCUUCUGCAAUUUUACUCAGUAGUUCUAAUUACUCUAAGGUUUCUCAAACUUAUAAAUCUUUACCACAUUUCUCAAAAAACAUUUUACAGAUAUCAAAAUACAUUCAUGUUUCCAGUAGUUAACUUUCAUUGGGAGAAAGAACAGAAGCAGCUUGCUCAGACCUUUACCGGUAAGGCUGACGCACUCUCUGGAGACGGACAGUGCGACAUACCGGGUUUUUCUGCAAAAUACUGCAUAUACACAUUGAUGGAACAGACAAUCAAAAAGAUUAUUCAUUUCUGUGUUGAACAUUACCUUUGACAUCGUCAAACAUGGAACCAAUAGCAUUUGCGAAAUCCCUUGUCCAACUUCAAGAGAAAAAUGUAAUUGUUAAGAUGAUCUGCACUGACCGCUACUCCUCAAUCCGGAAAAUCAUCAAUGAAAAGUAUCCAAGAAUAAAACAUCAAUUUGAUGUGUGGCAUUUUGCUAAAUCCCUGAGAACAAAACCGAUUGCAGCAAGUAAAAAAUAAAAUACACUGACAUCACAGAGUGGAUAACACCAACUAUAAAUCACCUGUGGUGGUGAUAGAUGGAUCUUCAAUUUUUGAACAAUUCAAGGAAAUAAUUACAUACACACAGAUUUCUGAAAGAUCUCUCUUAUUUGUCACAUUUUUGCCAUACUAGUGAAUUGGAAGUUUAUCACAGUAAUUUGCUAAAAUACAGAUCCAAACGACAUCAUUAUUAUAUGGAUGGGAUUAUUGUUAGAACCCAAAUAGGAGCACUUGACCACAAUUUCAAUGUCCAAAAACAUUAGGCCACAGUUCAUAUCACUGGUCCUGGGCAUGACUCAGUAGGUUCUUUGAGGCACAAAUUGGAGUUCAAAAAGUAAAAAAAAAGACUGGGUUGUCAAGUCAAUCUUCACUCAACAUUCAAACCUUUUUCUCUUUGAAAAAUACUCAAGGAUAUCUAUUUGUUUCCUUGUUGGGACAUAGAUAUAGAAUGGAGACCAGUUUGUGCUACUUUGCCAUUUAAUAUUGCUCUUAAACCAAGGCCAGACAAGGAUGAAGCUGUUGCAAAACAGCUUUUACGUUUUAAACCAAUGAAUUAAUCAUCAGGUAUGUAUUUAGUAUUAUUAAAUAAAUUCCAUUAAAAUUAAGAAUCUAAAUGGGAGUUAGUGACUCACUAAUUUCAAUAUAUAAGGACAAUAGAAUAAACAAAAUGUAAUUCUAAUAUCCAUAUAAGUGUAGACUUAUUUUAUCAAUUUGAAAUAACAAGUGCAUUUUAGCAGUUAAUGGAAAAAUUAUUUAGUUAUUUCUAAUACUGGUGCUGUAUACAAUGGACAUCUAAUAAUGAUUUCUAAAAAUGAAAAAGACAUUUCACACAAAUGCAAACUUAAAUCACUGUGGACUUGUCAAUUUGCUCAGAUCCCUUCACAGUAAAAUUACUUGUAGUCAGAGUUGUCAUUUAAAAAAAAAAAAAUGGCUACAAUCUAUAGAGUACAUCUCUACUGUUUGACGACUUUUGCCCAAUGCUCCACUGUAUGGUGUAAAGUCGUGUUCAUGCACAGAGCAAGAAUUUCUGUCAUAAUGUUGUAGAUGUACAUGGGUAGGAAGAGAUGACUUAAAAGUUAAUUGAGAUCUUGGCAACUGCUUUAUUGAUUUAAUAAACAUAAUUGAUUUGAUAUAACAGAUUUUAAUUUUUUUUCAUUAAAGGUCACAGACGUGAGCAACAUCAUAAUUGUCCGAGUCAUUGAAGGCCACUUCAAUUCCAUAAUAUUUAAAUUACUACAUGUAGGACUAACUGUGGAAAGCAAGUGGUUCAUCUAUCAUCCAAACAUAUGUAAAAUAUGUAUAUUAACAAAUGUGAAUAAUACUGUAUAAUGAGCCAAAGGACCCAGGAAAUGGAAAUAUAUGAUUGGCCCCUAAAGGGUGUAAUUUACCCACUGAGAAUGCAGCACUUAGAUAAUUAUAGCUCUAGUAAUAAAUAUUUUCUGCUACAAACUCCCAUCAGAUCCACUCGGCUUUUUUGCGCUUAUUUAU